CGCACUUGUCUAGUGUGGGAGGCAAGGUAGCACGCUCUAGUCUAGAGCUGGAGGAGGCUCACACCUCGCUUGUUCUACGCCUUGGAGUUUGUUCGCAAUGGGCACCGACUUAGUGCUGGAAGUACACUGGGGAGCUUGUGCAGUGGAGUCACCUUGGAGGCGAGUGACCCAUGAGCAACGCCGGGUCAUCGUGCUCAAGUUGGACCGCUUGGCUGCGACGACGUCGAGCUAGAUCGACAUGGUGUUUGUCUGGCUUGUCAUCAUUGUGACCGAGUGGAGGAGUGGCAAGGCGAAGCAGGUGGCUUCAAGCUCCGCGGUGGAGUCACCUGGGAGGUGGACGGCCCAAGAGCAGCGCCGGGCGUUCGCGCUCAUAGUUUCACUAGUUUCUUCGAGAGUGCGCUCUCAAUGUUGUUUUGAUCCCUUUGGGAUUGGGGUAAUGUACAUAUAUGUUUAGCAAUCUCGCCGGAUUGCAACACCACGGGGUGUCUUUGACCCUAAACGCCUAAACGCGCCUAAACUCUAAACCUAAACCCUAAACCCUAAACCCUAAACGCGCCUAAACCCUAAACCCUAAACCCUAAACCUAAACCCUAAACCCUAAACCCGUAAACCCUAACCCCUAAACCCUAAACCCUAAACCUAAACCCUAAACCCUAAAACCGCCGGAUUGCAGCACCGCGGGGUGUCUUUGACCCUAAACGCCUAAACGCGCCUAAAUCCUAAACCCUAAACCCUAAACCCUAAUCCAGAAAAAGCUCAAUCUAGCUCUUUAUGGGACGCCCAAAAAAGGAGCCCUGCACACCAGCACUACCAGCAGAGAAUCGGCCCAGAAUCUAGGGCUACAAAGAAUGGGUGUAACUUAGUCAAGGAUGUCCUGCUCUCAACCUUGACCGUCUGGAGGCUUGAGGGUGGAUUUCUUGCACUAGUUCCCUGUGAAGAAUUUAUGGGUGUAACUCAGAGAAGGAUCUCCUGCUCUUCUGCUGACCGUCUGGAGGCUUAAGAACAGAUUUCUUUCACUAGCUCCCCAUGAAGGAUGCAACGUGGAUCUACACUCUCACCAAAUGACUUCAUUAUGACUCACCAAAUGGCUGAAACCCUUCACCAAAUGGCUGAUCGUAUGUUGCCACGUAGAAUUAAUCAUCCAUGUAUAUAUAUUUCUUCUUAGGUAUCUCAAUCCCUUACACUUUCUGCUCGCUGUGACGGUCUGUGAGUAGUAGGCAUGCAAGCUUCUAGCCCUUUUUCUUCAUCUUCAUCGCCACUUAGUCAUAGUUUAAGUGCUGGAGUGCCCUUGAAUCUCAUCUGUUCUAUCAACGCUGCUGCAGAUCAGGAGAUACCAACGAAUUCCCGGUCCCCCACACCGGAAUUCUCACCUCCUGAGUCAAGGCAGAACACACACGACACGCUCGUCUUGCCUUCCCAACAGACACUUGUCUUGCCUUCUCAGCGUGCACAAGCUCCUCAAUCUCAUCGUGGACUGUGGCCGAAUUUCUCUCACCGGGACGUUCGCUCAUACUUCAUCCGGGACUCUGGUCCAGGACCGAUUGAGAUUGAAGACACAGCUGCAACUUCUGGAGUAAUGCAUGACCAGUGUUCUCUUCCUCUUAUGGCAAAUGCUCCUCCAUCACCUCCUCACAUUGCUUCAUCAUCUCGUCAAACACCAAAUCCUCCACCAUCCAAUUCCAUUCAUGGAUCAGCCCCUAUUCACGGAUUUACACUCUCAUCUCGUAUCAUACCAUCUUCUUCCUCCACACCAAAUACAACGCUGUCUUCCAUACCAAUUACAACGCUUACUACCAUACAAACGUCCUGCUCUGCACCAGUUCCAACACCACUACCACGCACUCUACCACCUCAAACGUCAGUUCCAACACCACUACCACGCACUCUACCACCUCAAACGUCAGUUCCAACACCACUACCACGCACUCUACCACCUCAAACGUCAGUUCCAACACCACUACCACGCACUCUACCACCUCAAACGUCAGUAUAUGCACUCACGACCGAGUCUCCUCCAGCUUCUCCUGAAUUCUUGAGGGAACUGGCACUUACAGAGGAACGACACUUGGCUGAACGACACUUGGCUUCACGACCUGUCUCAGCACCACUGUCAACGGCUACAUGGUCCACUGUAGCAUCAGUGACAGAUAUGCAGCCCACUCUGCCUCCAGCAACUGCCCCAGUAGCAACUAUGCCGCCUAGGAGAUCCGUUGUGCCACCUGUGACCACCUCUACAUCCCCUAUGGCUGUGCCUACAACAAACUCACUCUCACCACAUGCACCAGCAUAUACACCCAUGUCUACGCUUGCAUGUACCUCUGUGCUCACAACUACAACCAUCCAUACACCUACUCCAUCGACAACUAGCCCUCCUCUCUUUGCUACAACACCUCAUACUCCACCAACUUUCUCCAUCUCGCCUCCUGUUCCAUUAACCUUCUCCACCACACCACCUUUCUCCAUGGCCUCAACUUUACCAACACUCUUUUCAUCAACAACUUCAAUCCCACCACCUUUUUCAUCCCCAGCUGUGCCAUCAUCUACUCCAUUCUCUGGAUUGGUAGACCUCUUCACAGUGUUGCAGAAUAGUGCUGGCAUUUCUGCUACUGGAAACACUCUUCCACAGCAGUUGCCACCUUUCCUUGCCCCUGGCAAUGCCCUCACUAGCUCCUCGACUGAGGGACUUGGUAGGCUUGAUGAGGCUCUUUCUGCCAUCCUUGAAUGCUCGAUCAAGGAAUUCAUGAACGAGCUCAAGUCUCUAAAUCAAGCUCACAAGGCUGUGAAGAGAUUGACUCAGCUCCGUGAUAAAAAGCAGUUCCCUCAAGACCUUCGCAUUCGUGUGCCAAAGCUUGAGGUGACCUCUCACGGUCAGGAACUUCUUGAUACCAGCAUCAAAGCAAUCCACGAACAAUACUUGAAGGACCUUCUUGAUUCUCUGCUCAAGGCACGAGAGGCUGAGGCUGCUACCCUUGCGGAUCUCAUCAACCAUGGACUCUCUCAACGUUUUAAUGAUCGAAUGGAUGAUUUUGUUCACUGUGCUUUGCAGGCUUGUGGCAAUGCACAACGAGAGGCUGUCACACAUACUCUCAAUGCCCGCAAGCAUCAGUUGAUAGCUGAAUACCAACGUGCGACUGCAAUUGGAGCAGUGGCAUAUGGAGUUGAGGAGAGCAAAAAGGAAAAUGCUCGCAAGCAAAGGGAAGCUGCAGAGGAUGCUGCACGAGCCAAGGCGGAGACACUGCCCAAGGAAGACACUGUUAAGAUGCUUGUCCAGAGCUGCUUUGACAAGAUGUGGAAGGAGAGGGAGCGUGGAAUUCCGAGACAACACCACGAAGAUGCUGGCAGAGGCACCAGAUCACAAGGCAAACGACAGCAAAGGACGGAUACCUCACUCCACAUACGUGAAGCAGGCUCUUCAAAGACACGCAAGGUUUCUCUCCCCAGUGGUGAACGUGACGUUACCCAUGGACGGCAGGGAAACGAGCAGGGGCGGAAUGUGGUUACUGGGACUCCUCCCACCCAUUCCGAUGCCCCGGGUUUUUCUUCAAGGGGUCCCUUGCACCGGCAAUCUCCAACCGUGCUUGGUUCCCAGCCAGCCAUGACUGGCAGAGGUGGCCAACGCCAGUCUCGAGGAAACGGUCGACCCCCACGGUCCCAACCGAACUGGCCAAGCGGCCGAGGGCGCCAGACUACACCACGACCUCCUCCAGCAGCCCAACAACGCCAGCCAACUCAGAACCAGAAACCACCUUCACCUCCCAGAGGACAAGAGAUGCAGCCCUCACAGCACCACAACAACACCCCACUCCACGAACGAACCCAACGCUAUGGCUUGGGAAGAAACUCGCCUCCACAGCAACGCCCGCACUCUCCAGUUACGGCAGUGCCUGUGGACAGAAAAGGCAAGGCAAAAGUUUCUGGCUACCUUUGAUUGCCCCGCAUGAAGCUUUACUUCAUUUUGCCGGCAAUCAAAAAGUUUCCCAGCUAGAAAAUAGAGUGGAGAUUGGUGCUGUUCACAAUUUGUCUUCUCGCAUGUUGAGUGCCGCUGAAAAGCGCCUCCUUGCUCUUGGGCUCUCAUUCAUUCCUAAUCCAGUGCCUCUCACGGCCAAAAAGAUUAUGGAAUGCUUAGAUGACUUUCAAUGCUCAGUCCGUCUUCGUAAUUCGUUUAAGGACAGCAACAGUCUUAUACCAGAGUUUCGGGUUCCCAACCCAAACUUUGAUCCUCCCCCUGCUUCCUGGCACAUGGAGUCACGAGUUGCCCGCAUUCGAGAGCACCUUCUCCAACGUCUUUCCUGUUGUAAAAGACCUCGAUCUUUUCUAAGAGGAUGGAGACGUGAUGCAGUCCUUGCGCUGCGACACGAUCAUAGUAUUGUGAUUAAGCCAGCCGACAAAAACCUUGGCGUAGUUGUUCUGGACCGCACGUGGUACAUUCAAGAGGCUAUGCGCCAACUCAAUGAUCCUCUUGUCUACAAGAGAGUUGAGUCGAUUCCACAUCAACCCAUGCAUGAGCGCCUCCUCGAACUUCUCCUGAAGUAUAAAUCUUGCUCAUGGCUGGACAAGAACACAGCCAAGUACCUCAUCACUUUGCCCUCACCUCCACGUAAAGCUUGUUUGUUGUAUUUUCUUCCAAAAAUACACAAGCAGCCAAUUCGUGGGAGACCAAUUGCUAGCUAUGUUGGCUACAUUUGGGAGCCACUUGCAAAAUGGCUCCACCGCCAACUUUUUGGCAUUCUCCUCCAACAGGAAACCUUUCUUAUGGACUCCCACACUCUCCUUCAUGAUCUUCAUAAACAACAGCUCCCAAAAGACUGCCUCCUCUUCACUUUUGAUGUGGAGUCGCUCUACCCGAGCAUUUCCACACGUGAAGGGCUCUAUCGCCUCCAUAAAUUUGUAUAUAGAAAUUUUGGAGAUUCGAUGCAAGCACGCUUUAUCAUGGCUGCUGCAGGACUCAUCCUUGAACACAAUUAUGUUGAGUUCGAUGGGAGUUAUUUCCUUCAAAUCCGAGGCACUGCUAUGGGGUCAAACUUUGCUGUGGUGUAUGCUUGCCUUUUUCUUUGUUCCCUCGAGGACGAAUUUAAGGCCACCUCUUCUAAAUGGCCAAUAUAUCUUAAGAGAUAUAUUGACGAUGGUGUUGGAAUUUGGGAUGGAUCAAAAGAGAGCUUGGAAUGCUGGUUGGCUAGCUAUGGAAGCCUCUGCAAUUCUAUAAAGAUCACCUCAGUGAUCUCAUUUGAAUCUAUGGAUAUUCUAGACAUCCAUUUUUUCAAAGGCCCACGUUUUGAGAAAUGCAGGUGCCUAGACUCCACCACCUUUCAAAAGCCACUAAAUGCAUACCAAUAUCUUCCAUGGAACUCAACGCAUCCUCGACACCAAAAGAUUGCCUUCAUUCGUGCUGAACUUCGGCGUUACCUCCUACGAGAGAGUAACCCUGAGAGCUUCUGUGCAAUUCGCAAGCUUUUCUAUACUCGUCUCCAUGCACGUGGAUACCCAAGAGCCUUCCUUAUUGAAGCUUUCCGGACAAUCCAUUAUACGGACCGAGAUAAUGUGCUCUACUCUCCAUCACGCAAAUCCAGUAGCAAUAGUCUACAGGCCCCCCUCAUUUUCAAGCUGCCUUAUACUCUCCAUAGUGCGGCACUUGAUGUGGGGAACACCCUAAACCCUAAACAGGUGAUUUCUGAAGUUCCAUCAGACUCACUCCUCAGAGUGAUCACAUGCUGGACACGGUCCCCAAACCUUGCUUCCCACUUGGUUUCAGCGAGACUCCCACCAUAUGGAUAAGCUACCUUGGACUUGCCCAAAGCUACCUCUUGCAAACUCAGAGUGGAAUAUUCCUGGAAUAUUCUGAUGCUUUGAAAUAUUUUUUGAGGUUAGCUAUUAAACAUGAUGAGGAACAAUUAGGACGUGCUGCAUGGCUGAUAUCCAUCACCAUCACCGUUCACAAUAUACUGCUAUGAAUAAGCUACCUCUUGCAAAGUCGGAGUGGAAUAUUCCUGGAAUAUUCUGAUGCUUUGAAAUAAUUUUUGAGGUUGGCUAUUAAACAUGAUAAGGAACAAUUAGGACGUGCUGCAUGGCUGAUAUCCAUCACCAUCACCGUUCACAAUAUACUGCUAUGAAUAAGCUUCACACCACUAAGCUUGUUUAUUUCCUGACCACUAAAUGAAAAUUCACUCCCUCGCCUCCUCUACUUGCUCUCGAUCACGCCGUUUCGACAACGGCACACGGAGAAUGUGGAUUGCACAAAGUGGUGCCGCGAUCUCGCCGGAUUGCAAAAAAGCCCUAAGUUGUUUGAGGAGAGAGCUCGAAGGCGCUAGAGAGAGAGUGUGAGAAAGAGGGAGGGAGCGAGCGUCCAGGGCGGCACAAGCAUCGCAGACCGCGGCAGCAACACACGGAGCUCGUCUCCCUCCUCUUUCUCCUCUUUUCUCUCGCUCUCUGUCGUUUUUAUCGAUAUCUCCCAAACGGCUGGGAGAAACCUCGAUUCCUUCGACGGGGGGCUUCUAGGAGUGUAGAUUCUCAUCCUCCUAGAAGGCCGCGGCGAGAUCUGCCACGGAUCUGGAGAUCUCGCUGGCCCUAGGUCGCUGCUGUUUUUAGGGUUCUUCGGCGGCGGCUAGGGUUUUUCGGGGCUUAGAGAUUUGGAGGAGUGGAGAGGACAGCUAGGAACACCACGGCUGCAGCAGCUGGACGCUCUCCUCUCCUCCUCUUCUUUUUUCGCUUCUCAUGGUUUCAAGUUUUUUGGGAGCUCAUAACUCCUGAACGGCUUGGAAUUUUUCCACAAAAAUUCACAGGGGGAUAGCUGGGAGGGAGCCUCACACCCUCCCAGAAGCGCAGGCAAAAAUUCUUCACGGUCUCAGAGUUCUCACCUGCCCUAAUUCGUGGCUAGGGUUAGGGUUCUUGGCUGGCUUUUGCCCUAACUACGGUUAGGGCAGGACUUAGGGUGGCAGUGGGAUCUCCGAUCUGGCCACUCUAAGUGUCAGGGAUCUUCGUUGCAUGUGGUUGGCACGGCAGCAACAUGGUGGAAACGCGACGGUUGCUGGUCUCGCAGCUUCGAGUGGGAUUUCUCGCCUUAGGUCGGGCCAUGCAAGGUGGUGACUGAGGUACGGAGAGCGUGAAGCUGCAUGUGUCGGAAGUUCUUGGCGACUUGAGUCGUGGAAACACGACCAAGUCAUGGGAACUUUGUUGACUGGUGGAGAACAGUUCGGGACGACAUCCCGACAUAGCGAAGUGUCCGCGGUGGAUGGACGUGGAAGACACUAUGGGCGCAUUUUUGGAUCUAGUGACAGGGAAGUGCUGUCACAAAGGGGGCCAGUGGCGGAUGGCCGAGUUGGUUUGCUCGCGGAGGGGAUCCCACAUGGUUCUUGCUUCAGGGCUAGUCCUUUGAGGAGGUUCGCGGAGGCUUGCAAGUCUUGUGAUUGUCGCGAUGCCGGCAACGGGGGCUCGUAUAUCAUUGAAGGGGGCCAGCGCACUUGUCUAGUGUGGGAGGCAAGGUAGCACGCUCUAGUCUAGAGCUGGAGGAGGCUCACACCUCGCUUGUUCUACGCCUUGGAGUUUGUUCGCAAUGGGCACCGACUUAGUGCUGGAAGUACACUGGGGAGCUUGUGCAGUGGAGUCACCUUGGAGGCGAGUGACCCAUGAGCAACGCCGGGUCAUCGUGCUCAAGUUGGACCGCUUGGCUGCGACGACGUCGAGCUAGAUCGACAUGGUGUUCGUCUGGCUUGUCAUCAUUGUGACCGAGUGGAGGAGUGGCAAGGCGAAGCAGGUGGCUUCAAGCUCCGCGGUGGAGUCACCUGGGAGGUGGACGGCCCAAGAGCAGCGCCGGGCGUUCGCGCUCAUAGUUUCACUAGUUUCUUCGAGAGUGCGCUCUCAAUGUUGUUUUGAUCCCUUUGGGAUUGGGGUAAUGUACAUAUAUGUUUAGCGAUCUCGCCGGAUUGCAGCACCGCGGGGUGUCUUUGACCC
rnacentral:lncRNA from 1 species